rnacentral:rRNA from 1 species
UACGAAGGGUGCUAGCGUUGUUCGGAAUCACUGGGCGUAAAGCGCGCGUAGGCGGCGUAACAAGUCAGAGGUGAAAGCCCAGGGCUCAACCCUGGAAUUGCCUUUGAAACUGUUAUGCUAGAGUGUCGGAGGGGAUAGCGGAAUUGCUAAUGUAGAGGUGAAAUUCGUAGAUAUUAGCAGGAACACCGGUGGCGAAGGCGGCUAUCUGGACGACAACUGACGCUGAGGCGCGAAAGCGUGGGGAUCAAACAGG